rnacentral:rRNA from 1 species
AUUGAACGCUGGCGGCAGGCCUAACACAUGCAAGUCGAGCGAGCGGCGGACGGGUGAGUAAUGCCUGGGAAACUGCCUGGUGGUGGGGGAUAACGACCGGAAACGGGAGCUAAUACCGCAUACUAUCAGAUGUGCCCCGAGUGGAUUAGCUAGUUGGUGGGGUAAAGGCUUACCAAGGCGACGAUCCCUAGCUGGUCUGAGAGGAUGAUCAGCCACACUGGAACUGAGACACGGUCCAGACUCCUACGGGAGGCAGCAGUGGGGAAUAUUGGACAAUGGGCGAAAGCCUGAUGCAGCCAUGCCGCGUGUGUGAAGAAGGUCUUCGGAUUGUAAAGCACUGUCAGUGGGGAGGCGUUACCCACAGAAUAAGCAACGGCUAACUACGUGCCAGCAGCCGCGGUAAUAC